ensembl:lncRNA
GUCCUGGUUCCCGUUGGGUGGGGCUUCCUGGGCGGAGGCUUGAGGCUUCUGGGCAAUCGGAUCUCCGCCUAGUUGCCCUGAUUCCUUAGCUCUGUCUUUCCUUCAAAGCUGUGAAGGGCGGGAGGACUACGGUUAGCUGAAGUGAGCGCGCGGGGCUGGGCCGUGGGGUCGAGGAAGCGCCAAGUUUCGGCCCUGCCUAGUCUCCGCCCCAGCUCGGUCCAACCCCGGGUUAGUUCUGCACCCUGUCCCGCCGGCGAGUAAAACCCAUGACCCUAUGGAGGCCUCCAGCAGAAGGUAUGACUCAGAUUAAGCUUUGAAUUCAUGAGAAAGAAGAGUGUGAAACAAGAAGAAAAGAUAAGGUUGGAAGAGGGAAAGAGGAAAGGAGGGGAAUGGAAGGAAAACCCUGCAGCCACCAACACAAUAAACUGUAUCCUGAACCGCCUCAGCCUAGCCCAUCUUUUGCAGUGCGCACAUGUCAAUUUCCUCCGUGCAGAAUUCUGAAGAUGAUGGCCAGGGCAUGGCUGUGACCUAGGUGGCCUGAAAUGAUGAGACCCGUGUUAUAGGUCUUGGAAACCCCUUUCCAUUUGCCCCUUCUAGGCACAGACUUUCUUUGCCUUGAUACCUGUGACUCUUGAUAAAUCAUGAAUCUCCCACUAACUGGGGCAGCAAGCUCCCAAUGGUCCUGAAUCUGAGUAGGGGAAGAAAUGUCUCCCAAGCAGGGUAAGAAGUAAAGUGUUCUGGGACAGCUAGCUGAGCCAUGCCUUCCACCAUCUGACAGACAAAGACCUGCCAGUCUGACUUCAGGUUAUAAAUUGAGAAGAAACAUCAAGUAUUUGUUUGUCCUGUGGUUAAUCCGAGCUUCGCCAUGUCCAGAAGUCUUGAAGGGCAGAGCCUUGAGGAUCUUUCCCUGACCCUGACAGAUCCUCACCUGACUAUACUCAAAAAGUGCUCCAAAUUUCACUCUAUCCACCCCAUACUCAACGUUUCUCAGCUGGGACAGAAGCCUAGGUAUGGCCAUAGGGAUCUUGUAGAAGACCUGUUUUGGAGACCAAGAUUUUCAGUGACAGCCAGAACUGACCUGACUGGAAUAAUGACAUUUUCCCAUCUGUCCUAUGGUGUUGUUCUGGUCCAGUCACUGCCUUCACUUUCCUAAGACUUGCCCAGCCAGGGUUUGAUUCUACUUUCUCACCACUCUGAACAUUCCUAUUCCACCAGUGGGCCUUUUCUGUGACUUCAGGCCUGCAGGGACUCUACUGGUGGUUCUGGGACUGCCUCUGAACUAACCAGCUAUGGGCGUUGGUGUGGUCUGUCACCUAAUUGUUUUACCCCUGCUGAUCAUCCAAAAGCUGAACCCCUAUCCUGCCCUGCUGUGCCAGUGUGUAAGGGCUUCUGUCGGCCCUACCCCCACCAGACUAUAGUGAACUGCCAACAUCCUCUCACAGGUGUUUCCUGUUGCCGUUUCUUUUGCUCAGCAUGGCCUCCCCAGCAGGUGGUGGUGAGGGCUCAGGCAAAAACCUCUUCACAGCAGUUCUAAAGCUCUGGGGUAAGGAUCCCCAGGGAUCUGGGUCACCCCACCCCCACCCCAUCUAGGCAACUGUUGACAUCCAAUUGGCUAUCUACUGUGCAUACUGCAGUGCUAUCACCGUAAGUAUUG